rnacentral:pre_miRNA from 1 species
AUAUGGAUCACCUGGAGAUUGUGUUAAAAUACAGAUUCUGAUUAAGCAGGUCUGGGGUGGGGCCUGAGAUUCUGCAUUUCUAACCAGCUCCCAGGUGAUGCUGCU